UGACGGGUAGCCGGCCUGAGAGGGUGACCGGCCACAUUGGGACUGAGAUACGGCCCAGACUCCUACGGGAGGCAGCAGUGGGGAAUUUUCCGCAAUGGGCGAAAGCCUGACGGAGCAAUCUCGCGUGAGGGAUGACUGCCUAUGGGUUGUAAACCUCUUUUUUCAGGGAGGAAUAAAUGACGUGUACCUGAAGAAUAAGCAUCGGCUAACUCCGUGCCAGCAGCCGCGGUAAUACGGAGGGUGCGAGCGUUAAUCGGAAUUACUGGGCGUAAAGCGCGCGUAGGCGGUUUUUUAAGUCUGAUGUGAAAGCCCACGGCUCAACCGUGGAGGGUCAUUGGAAACUGGAAAACUUGAGUGCAGAAGAGGAAAGUGGAAUUCCAUGUGUAGCGGUGAAAUGCGCAGAGAUAUGGAGGAACACCAGUGGCGAAGGCGACUUUCUGGUCUGUAACUGACGCUGAUGUGCGAAAGCGUGGGGAUCAAACAGGAUUAGAUACCCCGG
rnacentral:rRNA from 1 species